rnacentral:rRNA from 1 species
CCUACGGGAGGCAGCAGUGGGGAAUAUUGCACAAUGGGCGCAAGCCUGAUGCAGCAACGCCGCGUGAGGGACGACGGCCUUCGGGUUGUAAACCUCUUUUAGUAGGGAAGAAGCGAAAGUGACGGUACCUGCAGAAAAAGCACCGGCUAACUACGUGCCAGCAGCCGCGGUAAUACGUAGGGUGCAAGCGUUGUCCGGAAUUAUUGGGCGUAAAGAGCUCGUAGGCGGUUUGUCGCGUCUGCUGUGAAAACCCCGAGGCUCAACCUCGGGCCUGCAGUGGGUACGGGCAGACUAGAGUGCGGUAGGGGGGAUUGGAAUUCCUGGUGUAGCGGUGGAAUGCGCAGAUAUCAGGAGGAACACCGAUGGCGAAGGCAGAUCUCUGGGCCGUAACUGACGCUGAGGAGCGAAAGCAUGGGGAGCGAACAGGAUUAGAUACCCUGGUAGUCCAUGCCGUAAACGUUGGGAACUAGAUGUAGGGACCAUUCCACGGUUUCUGUGUCGCAGCUACGACAUUACGUUACCCGUCCGUCGGGUAGGUACGGCCGCGACGGACGUAAACUACAAGAAGUUAGACGGCGUGAGACGUGCCGACGGACGACGACGAGGGAGGUAGG